UACGUAGGGUGCGAGCGUUGUCCGGAAUUACUGGGCGUAAAGAGCUCGUAGGUGGUUUGUCGCGUUGUUCGUGAAAACUCACGGCUUAACUGUGAGCGUGCGGGCGAUACGGGCAGACUGGAGUACUGCAGGGGAGACUGGAAUUCCUGGUGUAGCGGUGGAAUGCGCAGAUAUCAGGAAGAACACCAGUGGCGAAGGCGGCUAUCUGGACCGGAACUGACGCUGAGGCGCGAAAGCGUGGGGAGCAAACAGG
rnacentral:rRNA from 1 species